UUUCACAUUUUGUUGUGUAGGACUCUGUCAAGACAGUUUAAAGGCAAAAAAAACUGUUUUAAAAUGUCGCUUAAACUUAAGUUUAUUGAUUUAUGGAAUCACUUCGACGCUAUAGAUGAGAAAAAGGCAAAGUGCAAUUACUGCAAGUCGGAGAUUGUCCUGGUUACCUUUGAAAUAUAUAGAAAUUAUAUUGUAUACGAGGUGCAGCAAUCAAGGUACACUCAUUUUGGGUUAGGGCAUCUGGAAUUAUAUGCAUGACAUCAGCUGGAAAACCCCUCUUAAUCAUAUGCGAAUCAUGAGAGAAUAAUACACAUAACAAGAAAGUGAGAGAGGCAUGGUGAACGCUAUGCCUGUGGAACGUGGAGGAAAAUGCUAAUUAUCAAGGAAUCCGUAAGAUAAAAGCUCAAGUAUACUCGUGAAUAUGCAAUUACUCAUCAGAAUCUGUCUCUACUCUAAGCUUCGCUCAGACCACAUCACAUAAUCGAUCCACUCAUUCGCCAAUGUCUCAUCAGUAUGUGGGAACCGAUUGACUAACGGAGCCACUAAGCACUCUGUCUCUUUGAAUCGAAAACUCCCUGAAAUCCCCGCCAUAGAGAGUCCCAAUGGAAAAGCGGAUAAAUUCGGAUAUGGAAAACGAUCAAAACUACCAAUAUUUAAUCCUAUAAAAUCCCAAUUGGAAUGCGGAUGCGAUGUUAGUUACCAUUACCGUUCUGGAUUCCCCCUAUGGGUUCAGGGACGAUAAGAACCGAGAGGAAGCAAGCUAUACGAGGGUGAUCUGAAAGUCUCCUUUUAGGUCGAUACACUUGACCCAGAGAUGCUCCAACUCUUUUAACCCAUCUGAAAAAUACGUUUUCUCGAAGUCUGCAAAGUAGGCAUCCGUGGAGGCGUUGGCCUGCUCAUUCGACUCAAAUUUCUGUCCGACGCACAGUGGGCGAAACGGCCAAUCUAGUGGCAUUAAAUUAAUAACAAGCGUAAUUUAAGAGAUAUCUUAAUUAUACCCGAUACUCAAAAUGAGUAUUGGGGUAUAUAAGAUUUGUGGUGAAAAUGGAUGUGUGUAUAUAAAGUUUACUAAUACAUUUUUAGCCAGUCUUCAAAUACAUACGUACAUAUGUAUGUAUGAAUCGGCAUUCAAUUAAGAAUAUCCUGUGGUCCAAUUCGAGGGAUUUCCGAUCUGAGGGGCCUGAUUAGGGGUUUACAUUGGGGGUCACCAUUUUUGGUCCAAGCAAAACGCAAAUCUUGUCAAAUGGAAUAUUUAAUAAAAAAAUAUAUAUAAGUAUAUAUAGAGGCAUGUUUCAUCAUAUAUAUAUAUAUUCUGCAAGAUUUAUGUGUACAAAUAUAUUUUUUUUUUUCAUUUCAUUUGUAUGACAUUUUGGAAUGAAUUGUAAUGCAUUAUAUCAGUGUUUCUCGGCAUGGGGUUUUUUGUAUGUGUUUAGGGGUAUGUGUAUGAUUUAAUCGCUAAAUAGGCACGUCAGUUCUAUUUGUUGAUGGUGCUUCCAGUGGAUCCUUAAAUAUACUUGAUUGUAAACAUAUAAAUACAUCAAAUUUAUGUAUGUAUGUAUUCAUAUACCUUUAGACUAUUUAUUAUUUAUUAAAGUUUAAACUUUUGCAUAGUCAUAAUUUUAAAGGCUUCCUUCCGUUAAUCAAUAUACAUAAUAAGAAAAAAAAACGAAGUAUACUUUAUUUAAUAAUUUAGUUGCACAUAAAUGUAGAUGUUAUGUGUAGUGGUUUUUAUAGACAUAUUCAUGUAUAAAUACAGACUGUAUAUAGGAAAUACAAAAUGUGUAUGCAUGUAUGUGUGGGAGGGAAUCAUUCAUUGAUCUUGAUUGAUUGAUUGAUUUAUUGCUAAUGGCUGUCCUAAAAGCAAUUACAAUUUAAAAUAGUUGUACAAAAAUAUGUCAACAUAAAUCUCUUUCUCUCCCUCUCUCCCUGUCUCCCUCUCUCCCUCUCUCUCUCUCUCUCCCUCUCUCUUAUGUAAUCUUGAAAAUGUAUAAUUGUUACGCUUUGCUAUAAUAAUAUUAUAUAAUUAUAAUAUAAUAUAAUAGAUAAUCUGUUCUAUCCUUUUGCUCCUUUCCUUCAACGACUCUUGUUUCGCUUUGUUCUUUUCUGGUGGUUUUACUCUAUUUACUCCUAAUUGCCUAUAAAUAUUAACAUUGUCAUUCUGUCUUCUUCGAUGAGGGGGCAAAGAAAGAGCACGUAUGAGAUCAUUCAUACGUAUAUCCCUACUAAGCAAUGGCUUUAACAAUUCUUUUUAUUGAGUGCUGUUCUUUGCGAGCUAGUAGAUAUUUAAGUCGCACUUUAAGACGGUCAAACAAUGUGUAGUCCAUUCAAAUUUUAUCAAUUCAUAAUUUAUACAAAUCAAAUCAAUCUUAAUCACAGUUAUUGUAUGGUAUCGUAUAAAGAUAAUCCUUCCAGCAAAUCAGUUCUUAUAAAUGUGCUCUACUCAAAUUGCACUAUUCCAAAAGUGGAAAUACACAAAUACAAUAGGCAAUACUGCUAUAUAUUAUUCCGGUAGUAAAGAAUUCAGUUUAGAGAUUACACAUGUUCACUAAAUUCCAUCAUUUCAUGAAAAUAGCUUAUUGCUUAAUGGGGAAUUCUCACACAGGUUAGUGCAGUUGAUUUGAAUAUAUUUUCGGAAGUGUUUCUGAUUCGACUGCGUGCUACACGGCUUUUGUACUUUUCAUGUGACCUACAGCAUAGUAUAAAUCGUAGACCUGGUCGAGUAGUUCACACUUCGGUCACUUCACUUUUUCGGUCUAAUUUGUAAUUUCAAACAACGUAAAUGCCGAAAGUAGGGAAAUUUUUAAAGGCGUUUUUAUAUUGCCUGCACACUUGGAAAAAUAGUUUUAUAACAUGUAACAUCGACAUCGAUUUUUAGAAUGUUUUUUUUUUAAUUUGAAAUUUUUGUAACUGCUCACGAAUAGUUAAUGACAUUCUGCAGUAUAUUGUUUCAUACAUUUUUGACCUAAAUAUGAGGAGGUGGCAUGCCUUUCAUCAGAGGAACAAAAUAUCCAUGUGUAUGUAUGUAUGUAUAAGCUUGAAAAUUUGCUUAAUUGGAAAGAAGAACAAUUUUGAAUUAAAUUAACAAUAUGUUCAAUAUGUUAGACCAAUCAAACGCACAAAUGUCAAUCAUGUUUUGUUUAUCCAACGUAUAAAAACGAGCAUGACUUUUAUCAUUUCACUUUGAUUGAUAUUAAUAAUGAAAUUUUAAUCAUUUUUAUCGACUACAACUAAUUUUGUUUGUCGUACUAGUAGAUUUGUUGUUCACAAUAAUGCUUGUAUGACAUUAGACUUAGCUAGCUGUCUUAUCCGAAAGA